CAUUAUGUGAGAUGGCUGAAAAGCACGGGAUCCCCCGGGAACGCAACGCUGUGCAGAGUUACUCCAGAGUAGCCCCAUUCAGCUGCAUGGGGGAUCGCGGAAGGCAGCUGGCGGAAGUCUUGUCCAGGGGCUUCUGGGCGAAUCUGAAGGGAAGGGCAGAAGAAUUUUGCAUGGCCUGAACCACUGCAAGGGUUAAACCUACCGAGCUGUUUGCUAGAGCGGCCGAGUACGAGGGAAGGCGGAUGAGAGGAAAGGCUGUUUGGAGGGAGGGACUUCGCUACUGAACUGGGGGGCUUCAGAUGUGGAACGGGGGGGGGCUUCAGAUCUGGCAGCCAGAUCCUGGGAAGGUUUACUCACGAAUUUCCUGAGAGAUGGGGAAGGAGAUGGAAGAGCAAGACCCAGAACAACCUGGAAUUGGCAAGAGAUCAAGGAAGGGCCCCCAUUCAAUCCCAACAGGGAAUGGUAUUGAAUUCAGGGAACGAGCUGUGGCAGAGACCCUGGAUCAGGUCACCCUGAACUCAGAUGUAUACGGACAACACUUCCAGCAGUUCUGUUAUUAUGAUGCUGAUGGGCCCCGAGAGGUUUGUAGCCAGCUCAAUGGAUUUUGCCACCAUGUGCUGAAGCCAGAGCGACAUACCAAGAAGCAGAUGAUAGAUCUGGUGAUCCUGGAGCAGUUCCUGCUCAUCCUGCCUCCGGAAAUACAGUGCUGUGUCAGAGGUUUCCUUCUGAGUCAGGCAGAGGAGAAGAUGCAGGGAGAAGAGAUGUGGGGUCCAUCCAUGAAGACAGAAGCUAAAUUCUCUGAGGCAGAAGGAGCUCCUCAGGGUGAGUGGCAGAGAGCACAGGCCCAGGAGCAUGGCCAAGAUGCCCUCGCACAUGGCAUUAAAGAGACUAUGUCAACCCAUCAGUUUGCUGCUGCUCCUCCAGUCCAGUGUCCAUUUUUCAUUGAGGAGGUGACUGUGUAUUUCUCUGAUGAAGAGUGGGCCCUGCUGGAUCCAAUCCAAAGAGCUCUCUACAGGGAAGUAAUGCUAGAGAACUAUUGGAGCCUGGUCUUUCUAGCUAAAAAUGUAGAGGAGACUACACAGGAGACAGAAAGCCUCCCAUACGAAGGGAUGAUGGACAGUAUCUCAAGACAAUCUCAAGAGACAGUUUCUUUCCCCGAUGAGCUGGCUGCAGAAAAUGUCAAGGAGAUGGUUGGGGAAUUCCAUGGCUUUUCACUGAAAAUAGACAACAAAGAAGAUUCUCAGUGUCACUUCAUAAAUCAAGAGAGACCAGAGAGGCAAGAGAGAAGCCAUGGAAAAAAGAUGAUGGAAAAAACCAUUCCUUUCCAAAAGGGGGAUUUCCACGAUGCAGUUGACAUGGCAGUGGAAACAUACAAAUGCUUGGACUGGGAAUUGAAUGUCUCAAGUCAAACUCAAAAGCAAAAGCUCACUAGAAAAAAUAAUAACUGGAAGUGUGGAAUGAGCCUCCUUUGUGGAGAAGAGCUCAGUAGGCACCAAGGAAUCCAUAUAGCAGAGAAAAUGCAUAGCUGCUCAGUGAAAAAUGAAAAGAAUCUCUCCGAUAGGAAGACACAUAAAUGUGGACAGACAUUCCAUAGCAGUACUGAUUUUGAACAGAAUUUACAAACCCACACCUUGGAGAAACCUUUUCAAUGCUCAGAGUGUGGAAAGAGAUUCAGGCGUAGUGGCCAUCUUCAUCUGCAUUGGAAAAUUCACAAAGUAGAGAAAUAUUUUGAGUGCUCAGAGUGUGGAAAGAAAUUCAGCCGCAGUUCAGAUCUUCAAACGCAUUUAAGAACGCACACAGGAGAGAAACCUUUUGAGUGUUCAGAGUGUGGAAAGAGGUUCAAUCAAAGUUCCCAUCUUCAUACACAUCAAAGAACCCACACAAGAGAAAAGCCUUUUGAGUGCUCAGAUUGUGGAAAGAGAUUCAGUAACAGUGGAAAUCUUCGUGUACAUCAAAGAACCCACACAGGAGAGAAACCUUUUGAGUGCACAGAGUGUGGAAAGAGAUUUAGUAACAGUGGCAAUCUUCGUGUACAUCAAAGAACGCACACAGGAGAGAAACCUUUUGAGUGCUCAGAGUGUGGAAAGAAAUUCAGUAACACAGUGGCGAUCUUCGUACACAUCAAAGAACCCACACAGGACAGAAACCUUUUGAGUGCUCAGAGUGUGGAAAGAAAUUCAGCAGCAGUGGCCAUCUUCGUCUGCAUGAAAGAACGCACACAGGAGAGAAACCUUUUGAGUGCUCAGAGUGUGGAAAGAAAUUCAGCAGCAGUGGCACUCUUCGUCUGCAUGAAAGAACGACACAGGCGAGGUAGAAACCUUUUAAGUGCUCAGAGUGUGGAAAGAAAUUCAGCAGCAGUGGCCCUCUUCGUCUGCAUGAAAGAACGCACACAGGAGAGAAACCUUUUGGGUGUUUGGAGUGUAGAAAGAGAUUCAGUAACAGUGGAGGCCUUCGAAAGCAUUCCAGAACGCACACAGCAGAAAAACCUUUUGAGUGCUCAGAGUGUGGAAAGAAAUUCAGCAGCAGUGGCCCUCUUCGUCUGCAUGAAAGAACACACACAGGAGAGAAACCUUUUGGGUGUUUGGAGUGUAGAAAGAGAUUCAGUAACAGUAGAGACCUUCGAAAGCAUUCCAGAACGCACACAGGAGAAAAACCUUUUGAGUGCUCAACAUGUGGAAAGAAAUUCAGUAGCAGUGGCCAUCUUCAUGUGCAUCAAACAACCCACACAGGAGAUAAACCUUUUGAGUGCUCAGUGUGUGGAAAGAUAUUCAGACAGAGUGGCCAUCUUCGUCUGCAUGAAAGAACGCACACAGGAGAGAAACCUUUUGAGUGCUCAGAGUGUGGAAAGAGUUUCAGGAGGAGUGGCAGUCUUCGUGAACAUCAAAGAAGGCACACAGGAGAGAAACCUUCUGAAUGCUCAACGUGUGGAAAGAGAUUCAGUAGCAGUGGCCCUCUUCGUCUGCAUGAAAGAACGCACACAGGAGAGAAACCUUUUGAGUGCUCAGAGUGUGGAAAGAGAUUCACAAAGAAUGCCAAUCUUCACGUACAUCAAAGAACCCACACAGGAGAGAAACCUUUUGAGUGCUCAGAGUGUGGAAAGAAAUUCAGUAGCAGUGGCCAUCUUCAUGUGCAUCAAACAACCCACACAGGAGAUAAACCUUUUGAGUGCUCAGAGUGUGGAAAGAGAUUCAGACAGAGUGGCCAUCUUCGUCUGCAUGAAAGAACGCACACAGGAGAGAAACCUUUUGAGUGCUCAGAGUGUGGAAAGCGUUUCAGUAGGAGUGGCAGUCUUCGUGAACAUCAAAGAAGGCACACAGGAGAGAAACCUUCUGAGUGCUCAACGUGUGGAAAGAGAUUCAGUAGCAGUGGCCCUCUUCGUCUGCAUGAAAGAACGCACACAGGAGAGAAACCUUUUGAGUGCUCAGAGUGUGGAAAGAGAUUCACAAAGAAUGCCAAUCUUCACGUACAUCAAAGAACCCACACAGGAGAGAAACCUUUUGAGUGCUCAGAGUGUGGAAAGAGAUUUAGUAACAAUGGCAAUCUUAAUGUGCAUCAAAGAACCCACACAGGAGAUAAACCUUUUGAGUGUUCAGAGUGUGGAAAGAGAUUUAGCCGCAGUGGCCCUCUUCGUCUGCAUGAGAGAACGCACACAGGAGAGAAACCUUUUGAGUGCUCAGAGUGUGGAAAGAAAUUCAGCAGCAGUGGCUCUCUUCGUCUGCAUGAAAGAACGCACACAGGAGAGAAACCUUUUGGGUGUUUGGAGUGUAGAAAGAGAUUCAGUAACAGUGGAGGCCUUCGAAAGCAUUCCAGAACGCACACAGCAGAAAAACCUUUUGAGUGUUCAACAUGUGGAAAGAAAUUCAGUAGCAGUGGCCAUCUUCAUGUGCAUCAAACAACCCACGCAGGAGAUAAACCCUUUGAGUGCUCAGAGUGUGGAAAGAGAUUUAGUAGCAGUGACCGACUUCGUUUGCAUGAAAUAACCCACACAGGAGAAUAACCUUUUGAAUGCUCAGAGUGUGGAAAGAGAUUCAGACAGAAUGGCAAUCUUAAUGUACAUCAAAGGAUCCACACACAGUGAGAAACCUUUUGAGUGCUCAGAGUGUGGAAAGAGAUUUAGGCAUAGUGGAGAACUUCAUGUGCAUCCAAGAAUUUAUCCAUGAUUUAUCCAAACUGCAUGUCCUGAUUCAGGGAAAGGAUGAACCGCCCUUGGUGUUCAUGGAACGCAUCCGUUCCGAACGCCACAGGUGGACGGUGUUGGAUCCUGAUGAUCAAGCCAACCGGUCCUUGUUGAAUAGUAUCUUUAUUGGUGGUAGUGCCCUGGACAUACAGAAAAGGCUAAAUAGAAUUGGCAAUAAUAUCAUUAAAGUCCUGGGGGAGCUCCUCCAAGCAGGACAGCAAAGCGGCUCGCCACCACCAGUUAGUGGGAGCUCUGCAGGGGGCUGCGGGUGGGAGACAAGGUUCCCGUGAGGGGUCUGGGGCAAGGGGGUUCUCCCGUAGCCCCCCUCUGUCCCCCGCAAUUCUAUCUUGUCCCAGGACCAGUGUGCCUACUGUAGAGAAACCGGACACUGAAAGAGAGAUUGUGCAGCCCGGGUUGUGGCAGAAUCCCACUCCCCUCCACAAACCAGAAAUGACUCUGGAUGUGAGUCUGCCCCAUAUUCCCAGCCCUGACCCUUGUUCGCUCACCCUUACCCUCAGGAAUUUGGGAACGUGCACUAGGGGUGCCCAAGUCCCAUCAGGUUCUAGCCAAGGGCUCCCUGUAACACGGUGCCUGAGCAGUGGCAGAACCUUGAUAUGUAGGCAGAAUUUAGGACUUUUGGGCUUGAAAAAACUGCCACCCUUUCCCCUGAUCCUGUAGACCCACAGCACCAUGGAGUAGGGGAGCUAGAAGCCCUCCUCAGGCAGCGCCCUUCUGAACUUAGGCAGCUCGAGGAAUGUUUAGAUUUUUGCCGCUUAACAAGAAUCCACACAUAAAGUGUGCCUAGUACAGAGCAGCCUGUUUCAGCCUCCUACCCCGUUCCUGCCCCACGCCUUGCCAAACCAGCAACUGGGAUUUCCCAAUCCUCUUCUGGUCCUGUUGUCCUGGCGGUCACUGAUGUGGAGCCCCUUGACCCCGUCGCCCCUCAGACUGAGGUGGAGGGGGCUCCCUGUCCCCAUUUCCCCAUUGUGGAGACCGUUUGCCCACUUAACCUCUGGCCAUAUCCAGAGUUCUGACCCUGACCUCUCCCAUUCCCCGGCUCCUGACGAUUCUGUACAAAUUCCUGCCUGUGCAUUUCCAUCAUUACCGCCGAACAAGGCCAUAACCCCAGAGCAUGUGCCGAGCUCAACAGUUUGGAUGCUUCUUUGGGAAUGAUCCCAUCUUAGCCCCGGUUACUUCCCUGACUCUGCCACAAAAUGACCAUGUCAUCCCGGUCAAUGUGAGGGGAUUCUCUAUUCCCAUGUUAGUUGACAUGGGGGCUUCCUACUCUGUUCUUAACUCUCGGGUCCCAUUCAAAGAAACGGGAGAGAAAGUGCGGUUGGUUGGGGUUAGUGGAUAGGCACAGUUGGUCCCCUGCCUUGCCCCCACUCUGUGUCUGUGGGUUGUGUAGCCACUGAACAUUCCUUCCUCAGCAUGGAGGACUGCCCUAUCUCUCUCCUGGGUCAGGACCUCCUAUCUAAAUUGCAUGCUUCUAUUUCUUUUUCUGCCUCUGGCUGUUCCCUUGUUCUUGACCUGGAAAUCGAGGGUGUUCUGGCAUUGGUGUCUCCCGUCUGCUCCUCCGAUCCUAGCACUGGUCCUGCAGGCAGUGAAUCCAAUUGUCUGGGAUGUUGAGAACAUCAUCCAAGCCCCUAAUGUCCCCUCCUGUGCAUGUGUGUUUGAAGCCUGAUGCCCUGCCUGUGCUGCAGAAGCCAUAUUUCCUGGCUCCCAGGGUCCACCUUGGCUUACAGCUCACCUUGGAUAAUUUACUGCAUUUGGGGAUUCUUGUGGAGUGUUCCUCCCCCUUUAACAUGCCAGUCAUUGGUGUGGAAAAGAAGGAAAAUCAAUGAGAUCACUGAGGAUCUCUACGCUGUGGUCCUGAACCCCUACAUACUGUUGACCUUGUUACCCCCUGAACAUGCAUUUUUCACUUGCUUGGACGUGAAGGAUGCAUUCUUCUCGGUCGUGAUUACCCCAGAGUCUCGCGCCCUGUUUGCAUUCGAGUGGACAUUUCCUGAUGGCCGGAAAACUCAAUUCCAAUGGUGGUCCCUACCCCAAGGUUUCAAGAAUAGCCCCACGUUGUUUGGAACGGCACUGGAAUGCCGUCUGCAGGGGUGGGACCCCCCGGAGGGCACCCAUCUCUUGCAGUAUGUUACUUUCUGCUGUGUCUGAACCCCCUUGUUUGGAGGGCAUUAUUAGCCUGCUGAACUUUUUGAUGUUUGAGGGGUUUAGGUUUUCCCAGUCUGAAGCACAGAUUACUCAGCCUUCUGUGUUGUAUUUGGGAUAUCACAUUCAGAGGCGGGAGAGGGUUCUGACAUCAUCCAGAAAGGAUGCGGUAUUCCAAAUGCAACUCCCAGAACCAGGAAAGGUCUCAGAAAGUUUUUGCGAAUGGCGGGAUAUACGCGAAAUUGGAUCCCUGGGUAUGCUUCUCUGUCUAAGCCCCUGCAUGAAAUGUUACAGGGGCCAGAAACGCUGCGUCUUGAAUGGACACCAGAGCAGAGAAUCACAUUUCAGGGAAUCAAGUAUGCUCUGUUGGAAGCCCUGGCUUUAGGUCUCCCAGACCCGACAAAACAAUUCUUCCUGUUUCUAUACAAGCAGUCUGGCAUUGCAAAGGGCAUUUUAGCCCAGGACUUUGCAAACACCUAUAGACCAGUGGCUUAUCUAUCCAAACAGCUGGAUCUGGUAGCAACUGGCUGGCCAGCUUGUCUAAGAGCCAUUGGUCCCUCUUGCCUGCUAGUUGAGGAUGUCCUGAAAUUUACUUUGAGUGCCCCCUAACCAUUUACGUGCUCCCCACUGUUUCAGCAGUUUUGGAACAAAAAGGGGGGUCACUGGCUUACUCAACAGCAUAUCACCAGAUACCAAACUAUCUUGAUAGUUAGCUCAGGGGUCCACUGUGAAGUCUCUGCUAGAUUGAACCCUGCCACUUUGCUCCCAGGCCCCUCUGAAACUAUAGACCAUGACUGCAUUGAAACCAUGGAUCUGACCUAUGCAGCCAGAAUUUAUUUAAAAGAUACCCCAUUGCCAGAUCCCGACUGGGAAUUUUGGAUGGAUGACAUCAGCUUCAUGGAAUCAGGGUCCCGGUACAUGGGCUACGCAGUAAUUUGCUAGGGGAAGCAAUCAAGGCAGCAGCUCUAUCACCAUCUCUUAUCUGCCCAAGCCCUGUUUCAUGGGAAAGACCUGAGAGUAAACAUUUACACUGACUAUUGUUAUGCCUUCGAGGUUUUGCAUGCUUUUGGGGAAUUAUGGGCACAACGGGGAAUGCUGACAACGAAUGGGAGGUCAAUAAAGAACACCCCCCCAAAUCAGUGACCUGGAUGCAGUACAUCUACCCACUGAAGUCUCUGUAAUACAUUUCAAAGCCCACACAACAGGGGAUUCAGCUGUGACCAAGGGAAAUCGGAUGGCAGAUGCGGCAGCAAAGAAGGUAACUCAGCUCCCAGAUAAGCUAGUGCUCCCUUCGAUCCCCGCUCUGCCAGCCCUCGACCCAAUAUAUACAGGACAAGAGAGUCAAUUUGCUGAAGCAGAAGAUUUAAAGUUUAAUGAUGAUGGGUGGUGGAUCACUGAGCAGGGAAAAGUCUAUGUGCCAGCAGGAAUGGUUUUCCUGGUUCUUAAAAUCUUACAUGAGGGUACCCACGUCAGGGGGGAGGGGCUAGCCAACUUCAUCAGCACCCAAGAUAAAGACUCCUUUCCUGCCUCAAGUUCCACUGCCGCUGCAAAGUCUCACUAGUAGCAUAAGAUCACGAGACUUUGCAGACUUUCAUUCAUUGUCUUCCAAGUACUAUGUACUGUGUUUUACAGCAUUUUUCUUUGUUCUUAAAUGCCCUGUAUUGUGUAUCUGAUCACCCUGCUUUGUUGUAACACUUUGAAAGUCCUAUAAGAACCCUGUGGGGUCCCUCGCCCUGCGCGGCUGCACUAGCAAAAGUAAAAGUGGAGAUUCUUUGGUAUUGCAGUAAAGACUUUUUUUAUUGAUAAAAA